rnacentral:rRNA from 1 species
CAGUAGCCGCGGUAAUACGAAGGGGGCUAGCGUUGUUCGGAUUUACUGGGCGUAAGGCGCACGUAGGCGGACUUUUAAGUCAGGGGUGAAAUCCCAAGGCUCAACCUUGGAACUGCCUUUGAUACUGGAAGUCUUGAGUUCGGGAGAGGUGAGUGGAACUGCGAGUGUAGAGGUGAAAUUCGUAGAUAUUCGCAAGAGCACCAGUGGCGAAGGCGGCUCACUGGCCCGAUACUGACGCUGAGGUGCGAAAGCGUGGGGAGCAAACAGGAUUAGAUACCCGGGUAGUCCCUGUCUCUUAUAC